UACGUAGGGUGCAAGCGUUGUCCGGAAUUAUUGGGCGUAAAGAGCUCGUAGGCGGUUCGUCGCGUCGGCUGUGAAAUCCCGGAGCUCAACUCCGGGUCUGCAGUCGAUACGGGCGGACUUGAGUUCGGCAGGGGAGACUGGAAUUCCUGGUGUAGCGGUGAAAUGCGUAGAUAUCUGGAGGAACACCGGUGGCGAAGGCGGCAUCCUGGACCGGCAUUGACGCUGAGACACGAAAGCGUGGGUAGCAAACAGG
rnacentral:rRNA from 1 species